AAUGGGGACGAUACCACCGGUGUGUGGUGUCGCUCAAUCGAACACCCAUAGGCGAAGACAACUCGAUGACGUUCGUCACGGGAUUACGGGUUCGGCAUGGCGCAAGCCUUCGUCGGAUCCCUCCAUCCCAGGGUGCCCCGAUACGGGUGGGAGCGGGCCUCCGGGCGUCGUUCUACCCAGCGGGCAUACCCCGAGUGUGCAGGAUGCGACCCGAAAGAUGGUGAACUAUGCCUGAUCAGGUUGAAGUCAGGGGAAACCCUGAUGGAGGACCGAAGCAAUUCUGACGUGCAAAUCGAUUGUCAGAGUUGGGCAUAGGGGCGAAAGACCAAUCGAACCAUCU
rnacentral:rRNA from 1 species